rnacentral:rRNA from 1 species
AUGAUCAUUUGUGAGGAGUAUGUUUUCAACUCUAUGUAUGUCAAUUCGAGAGUAGAGCGAUCUAUGUCAACCAAGAGCAGAACUCUCUCUAUUUCCGGCACAGGCUUUCUUUCAAUCAAGAAGAAGAUUAUUUCAGAUUUUAUCACUAUCCGGACUGCUAUCUACUACCUAUCUCUACCCGGGCUCGUUGUGAGGCGGGACCCAACCCUCCUCUUCACUCCACUGCUUCAACAGAAAUGGAUCCAUCAUCUGCUACCCAUGAGUAAUAACGUUACAAAUCUACCACUGAUCCCGAGGGCAAGUAUGAAAAAGAGAGUCAAGCAAGGUUGGAUUCGUAUGUUCCAUUUGAGUAAGCCUCUGAUGCCCUGCGCACAUAGCUUCUUGCAUGCCCGAUGGCAGAUCUCCCAACCUGGAGUAUAUUCCCGGCCCCGUAGCUUAGCUUAA